rnacentral:misc_RNA from 3 species
AACGCACCUUGCGCUCCUUGGUAUUCCGAGGAGCAUGCCUGUUUGAGUGUCAUUAAUAUAUCAACCUCCUCAGGUUUUUACUUGUCGAGUGUUUGGAUGUGGGGGUUUUUUUGCUGGUCUCUUUUGAGGUCGGCUCCCCUAAAAUGCAUUAGCGGAACAAUUUGUUGACCCGUUCAUUGGUGUGAUAACUAUCUACGCUUUUGACGUUAAACAGGUUCAGCUUCUAACAGUCCAUUGACUUGGACAAAUUUUCAUUAAUGUGACCUCAAAUCAGGUAGGACUACCCGCUGAACUUAA